GUUAGGCUAGUUCAGUGGAUAGAGCUUAGGACUUGUGAUCACAGCGUUCCUGGUUCGAAUCGCGCUGGGGGCAGACA
rnacentral:tRNA from 1 species